UACAGAGGUCUCAAGCGUUGUUCGGAUUCAUUGGGCGUAAAGGGCUCGUAGGCGGCCAACUAAGUCGGACGUGAAAUCCCCAGGCUCAACCUGGGAACUGCGUCCGAUACUGGAUGGCUUGAAUCCGGGAGAGGGAUGCAGAAUUCCAGGUGUAGCGGUGAAAUGCGUAGAUAUCAGGAGGAACACCAAUGGCGAAGGCAGCUCGCUGGGACGUGACUGACGCUGAGACGCGAAAGCGUGGGGAGCAAACAGG
rnacentral:rRNA from 1 species